rnacentral:rRNA from 1 species
GUCUACAGCCAUGCUGCCCUGAACACGCCCUGUCUUGUCUGAUCUUGGAAGCUAAGCAGAGUCGGGCCUGGCUAGUACUUGGAUGAAAAAUGACCUAGGAAUACCAGGUGCUGUAGGCU